rnacentral:tRNA from 1 species
UAAAUUAUAAUUUAAUAAAUUAUUUCAUUUAAAUUGAAAAUAUAUUAUUUAAUAAUAAUUAAUUUAA